rnacentral:lncRNA from 1 species
CACUCAUGUACAAAAAUGCAAGGGAUACUCUUCUGCAUUCUUCUGUUUCACAGUUUACGGACCUCCAAAAGACUUCAAACUCAGCUGAACUUCACCGCGGGGACGAAGGGCCCGGCAGGAGGGGACGGCGUGGAGCGAAUCGCCGUGUCACGAAGCGGGGCUGCGGCGGGCGGCGAGCAUCGGGGCUGCAACCGCGGUCAGGUCCGCGCGGGGAUGUAAAAGGACGUGGGAGCCGCGAGACGCGGUGACGCGAGGAGCAGCGCGGGGCCCGCGCCGGGAUGGGGUCGGAGCGACGGGGCCGGGACGGCGGCGGGGGUCCGUCCGCACCGGUGCGGCUGCGCUCCGGUGAGCGCCGUGCCCGGCCCCGCGCUGCCGCUCCGCCCCAGCGCUGCUCUUUGUCCUCUGAUAACGGGAGGUUGGGGGAAGACGCGCCAGGUGCUCUCGCAAACCGCGAGACGUUGCUCCCUGGGUUUAUAUUAGCUUGCUUUUUCUUUUUUUUUUUUUCCUUUUCCUUUCCCGCAGAUCGGCCGUUACAGCCCUUGUGACAGCCAUGACGGCCCCGUCCCACCUCGGCCGGGCUGCUCGCGCACAGCUGCAGCCGAGAGCCACAGGUCGGCCCGACGGGACUGGAUGCAUGUGUGGCCAAGUAAAGGGAUCAAAAGACCUGGAGAAGGAGAUGGUGGAGGUAAUUAAAGUAGUACAAGGGGAAAAAAAUAUGGCAUAGUCUAUAGGAAAAGUAGUGAAAGACUUACAGGGAUCCAGCAACACAAUUACUGGGCCUGGACUAUUCCUUAGGAUGAUGUUAAACAGGCUGUAUGAUGCUGUCUUAACUUUUCCCUCAUUACUCCAACUAGAGAGCCCAGAUUCAGGAUCACUGCUGUGCAGUAAAGGACCACACUGGGGACUGUGUCAGACAAAGUCCUGGCUCUUUUCCCGGUGAAGAUGGGACAGCCGGAGCAGUUCCUCUUGACAGUCUCCUUAGCCUAGCAGAAGCUUCCUCAAUGAAAAAGUGCAUGUAAUGAUCAUUGCCACAGCUGCUGCUGAGAGGGAGGCAUCAAAGUAAGCAUAGUAUAAAAACACCGAAACAUUAAGUAAAAAAUCUCGUGCUUACUUAAAGCUUAAUAGCAGAAGUUUAUUUUUCUCCCCUAUGAAAUAAAUAACAGGGCAAGGAGAGAAAGGACACAGCUCUUAAUCAUCCCUUAAGGACAGCAUUCAACACCACCACGAAUUUCAGUUAAGUGGCCACUCACCAUUACUAACCUGAAAAAGAAAACCAGGGACAGAAAUGCAUAUUUGGUAAUUAGCUGCUACGUUUCAAACGACUUUUGUGUUCUCUAACAAUCUCAAAGUUAAACUCUUAAGUGGGUAUCCUAUAGAGUUGUGUUUUUUUUCCCCUAACCUGCCAGUACUUAAACCAAAGAGAAAAUAACACCUAAAAAAGCAGGUAAAGUAUUUCAUUCAAAUGAUCAUUCUUAAUCUUACAUAAUUAUCUGAAGCAUUCCUUCUAACAGAAGGCUGUAAAACAGUUUUCUAUGCAAAGAUAUUUACCCGUGUGCUAGCACUAGUGUUGUUUUUCCAUUGCUGCUUGUUGUUAGCAUUGGUGCCUGCAUUUGGGACACCACUAUCCUCCAUUGUGAGUAACAAAUCAGGUGAACCUCUGGUUUCUUUCCCUAUUCUGACUACCAAACCCAUCAUUGGCUACCUACGAGACCUCCUUUGGACUGAACUAUUUAGAAUACUUCUGACUGAAAAGUGUUGCACCGAAAUAGCCUAAAAUUCCUUCUGCAAAGGCCAAGAAUCUCUGAAUUUUCCUAAGGAUACAAAACUACUCAUUGUAAGAGCCAAAGCGAAGACGUGAGCAGCUGUAGAAGGACCUCACAAUAGUGAACAAGUGGGCAGACAGCAGAAGAAAUUCUAUGGCCAUAACUGCAAACUGAAGUAAAUAGCAGUGAAAACAACCCUUACUAAACAUGCAUAAUAAUGGACUCUAAAUUAACCCUAAAUAAUUAACCUUUAUCAUUGGGAGCUGUUGUGAAUAGCUUUCUGCAAACAUUAGCUUGCUGCUCAGCCUUAGUUGAGAAGGCAAACAAUGCCAGGAAUUACUCCAAAAGCAAUUGAGAACAAAGCAGAAUAGCUCAUUACAUUGCUGUGUAAAUCUCUUGCCUACUUGAGUACUGUGUAUGGUUCUGGCUCCUUCAUAUGGAAAUGGAAAACAAGGAAAUGUACCGAGCUAACGGAAUAGCCAGGGGUAUGGAAUUCCAUCCACGUGAGGAGAAUUGCAACUGUGAAACAGAGAAGGGAUUGCCUUCAGAUCCAUAGAGUCAUGAAUGAGAUGUAGGAACCUGAGAGGAAACAACCACGUGCCAUUUUUCAUUUGACAGGACCUGAGGGAGAACACAGCUAAUGAUCAGGCAGCAGGUUUAAGACAACGGCUGCAAAGAACUUUGCUGUACAAAGUGUUAUUAAAUUGCCUGGCCUGCUGUGACAGCACUACGGAGCUGAAAGCACAGAUGUUUUUAAACAGGGAUUACAUGAAGGAAUGAACAAUAACUUUAGCUAUUAAGCACAAUAAUUUCAUUUUCAGUGCCUGCCUACUGCUUGCUAGAGCUGUAAGAAGGGACAUGCUUCACGUGCCUUGUUCCAAUGCUCCCCUGAUCAUCAGAUGGUUGAUUCUUUUCUUCCUCCUCAGCUAGGUGUGAGAAAGAAAAGACAAACAGAUUUCUAGGUAUGGAAACAUACACCUGCCUUUUCCCAUGUCCUGGGAGGAAGAUCAGAGUAGUUCCUUAUCUUUCCGUUUGAGUGCUCUUCCAGGGCCCUGAAGAGAAUGCUUUCCCAGUGGUUCUCUAGUGAUUAGCCCUAUUCAGUAGUGACAAUCCAUAUGCAUUACCCUAUCCACAUCAGCACUGCUUUUGGCUUCCUUUUACACAGGGAUGGGGAGAGAAGUCCUGAAGUGUAAUAACAGCAGAGAUGCAUAGAACAUGUAGAAAAUACUUUCCACUUCCAUAGGUAAGAAUAAGAUUCCUUGACAUCCUGGAGGAGAAAGGGAUAGAAAUUCCUUCUUGUUUAAGUAGGAAAGUAAAGCACAAACACACAGACAUGCUUGAAAAACUAACAGCGGGUAAAAGUCCUGCGUAGACAACCAGUGUCUAAACCGUGUUAGAGAUGCCCUUAUAAAAUACAAGCAACUGGAAGUCUGACAAGCAAAUCUGAAACGAAGCUUGGCAGAACUCCAAGGAUCCUUGAAGACAAACAUAUGAUAAAUCAGCCGGAGCGGUUACUUCUCAUAUAAACAAAAUCUGUAUGGUUGAUACUCCGUACGGCUAGUUAUCUCCACUCAGAAAAGAGCUUGUUUUGUACCUUAUUUCAGCAAUGGGUAGCAAUACCAAGGCCUCAUGUUCAGCAGAAUUUAUACUAUUUCUCUUACUGUUUAGACUGCAAAACUAAAGUAGUAUAAAGCUAUUAAAAAAUACAGGUGAAGACUUCUGAUGCUUUAUACACAUAAAGUUAAGUAGGCACUAUGUAGUACAGCUGAAAUUGUACUGACUGCAGAAGAUGUGAGGAAUAUUUUUUAAAUAUCCAAUUUAUAUCACUUUUAUUAUAAAACGCUAAGAACCACUUUUAAGACAUAUGUAUGCUUUUAGAAGACUGUGGACGUGAUUAAAAGUUGAAAAAGUCAGUGGUUCAAGACAGGGUACACGCUUUCAUAUGCCAUCGCCUUUUGAUUUGGUUUCACUGAUUAAAUAUAACCACUCCACUCCUGCUAUCCUUAUAUGGAACAGACACAUUAGGAGGGGGAUUUAGUGUGCCCAGGAUGAGGACAAUCAAAGAUCUGAUACUUAAAAUAACUGUCAGCUUUCUUGCAAUUUCGUUUGUUAAGUUGCUUACCGUUUCACUUUCAGAAAAAUAUUUCCUGUAUGUAUUUGCAUUUCCAAAUGGAGUUUUUAUGUCCAAGUGACUAAAUACGCUCUGUUAACGUUGUCACUUGAAGAAAUCCAGCACAACUGAAAACGUUACUCAUUAGCAGUUUCAGAAAGCAGAACACUGUCAGAUGGGUUGGAAGAAUGCCCGGGAUAUCUUCUUUACCCUCACGGUCAAGAUUUGUAAACACUUUCUCUAAUUACAGAGCAGAUCAGGUCAGCAGUUAACUCUUUUUAGUCUUAGCACGGUCCUGCAGAUGUUCUGUAUGAACAAAGUGUUGUUCCUGUACUACUGCACCCUAUAAUUGAAUGUUUCCCCACGAGUGGUAAUACCUCCCGUUCGUCAGCAGGCAAAGUGCAUGUAUCCUGAACCUUACAUUGUUUAGGUUUGUUUUAAAGACUCAGAAAACUUGUUACAAGAGAAGAGCACAGCAAGUUUGCAAAUGAACAAGAAACCAUUCAUCCCAAAGCCAUCUCCUGGGAAGGUUAUCACUUGCAGCAAUUUAAUGGCAUCACAGCUCAAAGCACUGCUUCCAAGUUUCACCCCAUCUACUUCCUGUCUUCUGCUGAAUGCUUACCAAUUCCUAGACCACCUUUCGGAGACCCUCAAGAGAGCUGAGAACCUGCCCCAAGGUCUCCUGAAAUUGCUGCAGUAUAUAAAUACUUCUUACCUUACCUGGUGUGCCAAGGAGACCAGCUUCCCCCAGGAAACCUGGGGGUCAUUAUGCCUCACUGCAGCUAGCAAGUCAAUUGCAAAGUGAAACUCAUGGAUUUCCGCCCAAGCUCGAGUUUUAGACUUUCAAGAAUAAAUUGAGGUAAAAGAAGAAUGAGUAGUCUGGUGCUUACCACUAAAAGACAUAACAAUAGCCUUACUAUUUAGUUCUUACUUUAUUGCAGGACAAUUUACCUAAGUACAAAACAAGCCACCUAUAAAAACAAUCAUUAGCUUACUCAGUGUUCCAAAUUUCCCUGUUAACAUUACUUUUAUUUCUUCUCAUGUCUAAUAAAUUUUAUAUGAGAAUUUUCUGCUGGCUGAGUUUGACUUUGAGAUCAUACAUACAGAUUUAUUCAUCUUUUGGUAUAACA